rnacentral:lncRNA from 1 species
CUACACAUAAGUGAUUCCACAUAUCGUUUCUACUUUAAUAAUAGAGUCCACCCCCUGGGGGAUAGAGCUCUAUAUGGAUAUGACUUUUUUGGUCAUUCCAUUUACCAAUUUGUCCCCUCCUAUAGUAUUUGGCAAGACAGGGCUCUAUUUUUAGUUGAACCCCAUCCCACCAUAUACCUCAGUUUUAGUUUCCCUUAAUACAAGUUCCUAUUAAACUACGAUUACAGACUCAAUAUCAAAUAUGAAGAAUUAAACAAGUUUCACGUUCUCGCCAACUGGGCACCUCCGGUCCAUAUAUCCAUCCAUCUCUGUUCCCUUCUUGUACCUUUUGCUUUGUACCAGCUGUCCACCUUGAAUGUCGCUGUGACAUCCUGUACUGUCCUCCUCCCUAUCUCCUGUGGGCUCGUGCGUCUGUCCUCAUGCACUCUCCUGUUCCUUUCGGUUCAGAUUCCCCAUACUAUCGCUGCCGUGUACGUCCACGUCAGGCCCCAGCAUGGUGAGUUCUUUGUCCUUGCAUUUGCCUGUGCCAUGACCUGUUCUAAAGAUAGACCUGCACACAUA